UACGAGGGGCCCAAACGUUAUUCGGAUUUACUGGGCUUAAAGAGUUCGUAGGCGGUGCAGAAAGUGGGGUGUGAAAGCCCUCGGCUCAACCGAGGAAUUGCGCUCCAAACUCCUGUACUCGAGGAAGCUAGAGGUGAGCAGAACUGAUGGUGGAGCGGUGAAAUGCGCAGAUAUCAGGAAGAACACCCGUGGCGAAGGCGGCUCUCUGGGACGGUACUGACGCUGAGACGCGAAAGCGUGGGGAGCGAACAGG
rnacentral:rRNA from 1 species